rnacentral:rRNA from 1 species
AGUCACUGACAUUAGAUACCCGCGUAGUCCAGGGUGUAAACGCUGCAGACUUGGUGUUGGAGGCCCUUUGGGGGCAUUCAGUGCCGGAGAGAAGUUGUUAAGUCUGCUACUUGGGGAGUACGUCCGCAAGGAUGAAACUUAAAGGAAUUGGCGGGGGAGCACCACAACGGGUGGAGCCUGCGGUUUAAUUGGACUCAACGCCGGAAAUCUCACCGGAUAGGACAGACAUAUGAUAGUCGGGCUGAAGACUCUACUUGAUGAUCUG